GAACGUCACAAGCACGUGGCGGCCGCGUGAUUCACGCAUCGGGUAUUCACACCAGCUGCAUUUCAGCUGCAUUUCAGCUGCUGUCAGCUCUUUCUUUCU